rnacentral:rRNA from 1 species
ACCCGCGUACAUGCCACCGGGGCAUCCCGGAGGCAGGAAAGGCUUCGGCCGGACAGGGAUGGGCAUGCGGCGCAUUAGGCAGUAGGCGGGGUAACGGCCCACCUAACCGACGAUGCGUAGGGGUUCUGAGAGGAAGGUCCCCCACACUGGUACUGAGACACGGACCAGACUCCUACGGGAGGCAGCAGUGAGGAAUAUUGGUCAAUGGUCGGGAGACUGAACCAGCCAAGCCGCGUGAGGGAUGAAGGCACAGAGUAUCGUAAACCUCUUUUGUCAGGGAACAAAGGCGGGGACGUGUCCCCGGAUGAGUGUACCUGAAGAAAAAGCAUCGGCUAACUCCGUGCCUGCAGCCGCGGUAAUACGGAGGAUGCGAGCGUUAUCCGGAUUUAUUGGGUUUAAAGGGUGCGCAGGCGGUCUGUUAAGUCAGCGGUCAAAGCCCGGGGCUCAACCCCGGUCCGCCGUUGAAACUGGCAGUCUCGAGUUGGAGAGAAGUAUGCGGAAUGCGCGGUGUAGCGGUGAAAUGCAUAGAUAUCGCGCAGAACUCCGAUUGCGAAGGCAGCAUGCCGGCUCCACACUGACGCUGAGGCACGAAAGCGUGGGUAUCGAACAGGAUUAGAUACCCUGGUAGUCCACGCAGUAAACGGU